UCCGGCAUAGCUCAGUUGGCAGAGCACUCGACUGUUAAUCGAGGUGUCCCUGGUUCGAGCCCAGGUGUCGGAG
rnacentral:tRNA from 2 species